AGUUUAUUUAUAGCUAAAAGUUCAGCCAUAAGUUUUUUGUGGUCUUGUUUAGAUUUCAUUAAAUUUUCUAUAUAUUUUCUUAUAAGCAUUUUUAUAAGUUCAUGUUCAGCCAUAAGUUAUUGUGUGGUCUUGUAUGAUCUUGUGUGGUCUUGUUCAGCCAUAAGUUCAUGUUCUAUAUGCUUUUUUAUAAGCAUUUUCUUCUACAUGCUUUAAAACAUGUCAGACUAAAAUAUAUUUCAUAUGUACUAGUAACAUUCUGAUUCGGUACACUUUUGGAUGUCACCGGAUAUUAAAUCACCAGGGGAUCCUAAGUUUAUGGAAGCAUUUGAUUGGAGACGAAGAAGAUUGUGAUGAAGAUAUGGAAGAAGCUUGUGAUCAUGAAGAUGUGGAAGAAGGUUGUCCUGAAGAUGUGGAAGAAGAACAAGGAGAUGAUCAAGAAGAAUAUUAAGAAGUUGUGUUUUAUAUUAUCUAGCUAGCUAAUUCUUAGAACUUUUGUUGUUAUUUUGGGAUGACUCUUUGAGAGAAACUUGUGUUUAAUUUAACUCUUGUUUUGAAUCCCAUGGUUGUUUUGAAUUUGGGAUGACAUCAAAACUUAGUAUCCAA